rnacentral:rRNA from 1 species
AGCUCCAAUAGCGUAUAUUAAAGUUGUUGCGGUUAAAAAGCUCGUAGUUGGAUUUCUGUCGAGAACUACCGGUCCGCUCUAUGAGCGUGCAUCUGGGUAGGCCUGGACAUCCUCGUGACAAACGUUGCUGUGCUUCGCUGCACAGCGCGCUAACCACGACCUUUACUUUGAGGAAAUUAGAGUGUUCACGGCAGGCAAGCGCCUUGAAUACAUUAGCAUGGAAUAAUACCAUAGAACUUGAGUUCUAUUUUGUUGGUUUUCGGAACUUAAGUAGUGAUUAAUAGGGAUAGUUGGGGGGCAUUCGUAUUAACGCGUCAGAGGUGGAAUUCUUGGAUUGCGUUACGACUAACUACUGCGAAAGCAUUUGCCAAGGAUGUUUUCA